UUUGGUGUGUUUUUACGAUAAUUGGUGCUUAAUAUGGUUAUUAUUUGUAUUUUAGGUGCAAAUUGAAGAAUUGGCAACUUUUGGGGUGAAAACUGCAAAUUCAGAGAAAAAGUGGGCCAAAAGUGAAAAAAUCAGAUUUCUGAAGAAUUAAAAGACCGCACGGCCGUGCGGAUUUUAGUUCAAAAUCUCACACGGCCGUCCGGGUGGACGUGAAGGCGCAGUGAAGGAA
rnacentral:lncRNA from 1 species